AUUGAACGCUGGCGGCAUGCCUCACACAUGCAAGUCGAACGGCAGCGGGGACUUCGGUCCGCCGGCGAAUGGCGAACGGGUGAGUAAUGUAUCGGAACGUACCAUUCAGUGGGGGAUAACUAUCCGAAAGGAUAGCUAAUACCGCAUAUUCUGUGAGCAGGAAAGCAGGGGAUCGCAAGACCUUGCGCUGAUUGAGCGGCCGAUAUCAGAUUAGCUAGUUGGUGAGGUAACGGCUCACCAAGGCUACGAUCUGUAGCGGGUCUGAGAGGAUGAUCCGCCACACUGGGACUGAGACACGGCCCAGACUCCUACGGGAGGCAGCAGUGGGGAAUUUUGGACAAUGGGCGCAAGCCUGAUCCAGCCAUGCCGCGUGAGUGAAGAAGGCCUUCGGGUUGUAAAGCUCUUUCGGCCGGGAAGAGAUCGCAUCAGCUAAUACCUGGUGUGGAUGACGGUACCGGAAUAAGAAGCACCGGCUAACUACGUGCCAGCCGCCGCGGUAAAAC
rnacentral:rRNA from 1 species